CAUUUCCACAUCAUUACUAAGUAAACGGUAAAGUAAACGUUGUUUUCAUCAAAUGAAAGUGAAAUGUUUCCUUUAAAUCUAGCAUUAAACUGGAAUAAACACAAUAUUAGACAAAGUUUAGUUGGCGUUGUGGUAACCAUAGACGUCAUACUCCUCGGUGCAGGAUACACCUUCUCAGCAACUUUGCUCCCACAGCUAGAAAUUGAAAAUUCUGAGAUUCCUCUCACCAGACAAGAUGGAACAUGGAUUGCAUCAAUGUCAAGUUUAGCUUGCAUUCCUGGCACAAUUCUCGGAGUCUUCUUGCUUCAAGUAUUCGGCCGUAAAUGGUCGUAUUCCCUAAUCGCAUUAUCAAACUUUUUUGCCUGGGGUACAAUUGCAAUGAGUACACAAGUCUGGCAUCUUCUAUUCGGCCGUGCGCUUCAAGGAUUAACAGCUGGAUUAGGUUUCACUGUGUGCUUCUGUUUUGCAUGUGAAGUAGUAGGUUUAAAAUAUCGCAGUGUGCUCCUAAACAUGGUCAACAUGGGAAGUUCUUUCGGGAUGUUAUUUGUGGAUGUAAUGGGAAGUUUCUACUCUUGGAGAAUAUCUGCAUACGUUUUGACUGGUUUAGCACUAUUCUACUUUUUAUAUUUAUGUAUUUAAAAAACACUCAUGUGUGGUACCUUCAACGUGGUGAAGUUGAACGCGCAAGAGAAUUAUACUUCUGGUAUAAAAAUGAUUCACCGAAAAGUGAGGAGAAGUUUAGUAUUGAACGCAAACUUGCUGAAGUUAAAGUGAGUUUCAAAGAGUUACGCAAGGAAUGGAAACGAAGAGAGUUUUUAAUUCCUAUGGGUGUGAUGGCUUGGUUUACCACGACAACAAUGUGUACAGGGGGUUUCGGAAUAAUGUUAUAUUCAGUUGAAAUUAUGCGUGGUGUGGUUGCAAUUGACGAGUACACGACAACAAUUGUCAUUGACAUUUUAAGAUUUAUCUCUACGUUUGGUAUUAAUAUUCUUCUAAAAUACACUUCAGUAAGGUUUUCUAUUAAUUUAAGCUCAAUAACUUGUGCUUCAUCAUUACUUUUAGUGUCUUUGUCACUUUUUUUGAAAGAUAGAUGGAGUGGGUGUAACACAAUCGCUUUAAUAGCAAUUCUAACCUUUAACUUUUUCUUUAACUUAGGUUAUGUAAACCUCGGUAAUAUUUGCAUCGGUGAAGUUUUGACUGGGGUUGGAAAAUCAAGUGGUACUGCUGUUUCGGGAAUGUAUUUCUUUAUGUUGUAUUUUGCAUUUGGUCAAUUAGUGCCUGUAAUAUUUGAUCAUUUAGGACAUGUUGUAGCGUUUCUUAUUUUUGGAUGUUUCACUGUUGUGGGUGGCACAGGGUUGUUUUUCAUGAUGCCGGAAACAAAAGGCGUGAGCAAUGAGCAAAUCCGAUUAAACUUCCAAAGUAAAAAGCAAAAAUGUAAAACCAUUCAAACUAUUUCUGCGGAAAUUCCUGCCACAUAAGAUUUAUUAUCUUUUUUAUUAUAUUUAAUAUUUAUUAAUUUGUUUGAUGUCUAGUCGAUGCAAUUAAAUUGAUUGAUUGGUAUUGAUUAUGAAA